AUAACUCCAAAUCACCGACAACUACCAUUGCAAGCAUGUUCUUACUUUUGUCAACUUGUGGUUGUAAACUUGUAACUCAAAUUCCUCCAUAAUACAAGGGUCUUUUCUUCCCUCAUUUUUGGAGCUAUAUUAUCUUCGUUCUUUUUCAAUUUUAGUUGCGAGUCUUGGGCAAAAUUUAUUUUUCACUAUCUUAAGUAAAAUAAUUAUCG
rnacentral:lncRNA from 1 species